rnacentral:tRNA from 1 species
GGAGCGGUAGUUCAGUUGGUUCGCUCUUAGCUACGAACUUAGCGCCCUGUCACGCCGGGGGGCGCGGGUUCGAGCCCCGUCCGCUCCGCCA